CCUACGUGAGGCAGCAGUGGGGGAUAUUGCACAAUGGGGGAAACCCUGAUGCAGCGACGCCGCGUGGGUUACGAAGCGCCUAGGCGCGUAAAGCCCUGUCAGCAGGGAAGAAAAUUACGGUACCUGAAAAAGAAUCCCCGGCUAACAACAUGCAAGCAGCCGCGGUACUAUGUAGGAGACAAGCGUUAUCCGGAGUUAACGGGUGUAAAGCGGGCUCAUACGGCGAGACAAGCCAGUCGUGAAAGCCCGGGGCCCAACCCCGAGACUGCGCGUUGAACUGCGGGGCGAGAGUGCAGGAGGGGAAUGCGGAAUGCCUGGUGUAGCGGUGAAAUGCGGAGAUAUCAGGAGGAACACCGGUGGCGAAGGCGGCCUGCUGGACUGCAACUGACGUUGAGGCCCGAAAGCGUGGGGAGCAAACAGGAUUAGAUACCCGGGUAGUC
rnacentral:rRNA from 1 species